rnacentral:ncRNA from 1 species
AUAAUAGAGGCGCAAUUUUUAUAAUAAACUAUUACAAGGCUAUAUGUAAUAGUGGUAAAGGAAAAAUUGCCGAAGGGAUUAAAUUAAGCCUUACAUUUAAUUACCUGGGUAUAUGGACAAUAUCCAUAUAACUGUCACAAUAACUAUUAUUGUGUUGAGCUAUUGAA